CGUGGGUAACCUGCCCAAGAGAUCGGGAUAACACCUGGAAACAGAUGCUAAUACCGGAUAACAACAGAUGAUGCCUAUCAACUGUUUAAAAGAUGGUUCUGCUAUCACUCUUGGAUGGACCUGCGGUGCAUUAGCUAGUUGGUAGGGUAACGGCCUACCAAGGCGAUGAUGCAUAGCCGAGUUGAGAGACUGAUCGGCCACAUUGGGACUGAGACACGACCCAAACUCCUACGGGAGGCAGCAGCC
rnacentral:rRNA from 1 species